rnacentral:RNase_P_RNA from 1 species
GGAGCCGGCCGGGUGGUCGCUGCAUUUCUCGCGAAAUGUGGAGGAAAGUCCGGGCUCCGACGGACACGGUGCCAGGUAACCCCUGGGGGGCGCGAGCCCACGGAAAGUGCAACAGAAAGAUACCGCCGGUCCGAGCCGCGCAGCGAUGCGGGGCCGGGCAGGUAAGGGUGAAAUGGUGCGGUAAGAGCGCACCGCGCGGGCGGCAACGUUCCGCGGCACGGCAAACCCCACCGGGAGCAAGGCCAAAUAGGGAAGUCGCGGGGGCAACCCCGCAGCGCCGUGUCCGUGCGCGACUUCCGGGUAGGCUGCUAGAGGCGUCCGGUGACGGCCGUCCCAGAGGAAUGAUCACCCUCGACAGAACCCGGCUUACAGGCCGGCUCCCAUU